rnacentral:rRNA from 1 species
CAGCCGCCGCGGUAAUACGAAGGGGGCUAGCGUUGUUCGGAAUUACUGGGCGUAAAGCGUGCGUAGGCGGUUUGUUAAGUCUGCUGUGAAAUCCCCGGGCUCAACCUGGGAAUGGCAGUGGAUACUGGCAAGCUAGAGUGUGUCAGAGGAUGGUGGAAUUCCCGGUGUAGCGGUGAAAUGCGUAGAGAUCGGGAGGAACAUCAGUGGCGAAGGCGGCCAUCUGGGACAACACUGACGCUGAGGCACGAAAGCGUGGGGAGCAAACAGGAUUAGAUACCCGAGUAGUCCCUGUCUCUUAUAC